ACAGGAGAGGCAAUUUUACAUCACCUGUAGUAGCAACAAGUGAGCACACUCACAUCAGGAGAGAAGAGGUACAGCAGUCCAUCAGUAGCUCCAGGCAGAGUGAGGGCACGAAUCAGGAAGAUGGUGAGCACCAGGUGAACUGACCUUUCCCAUGGACUCGAUGCCUUUGAUGAAACAUAUGUAGACUAUGCACCAGGCGCUGGCCAGACAGAUCACCAUCCACCACUGCAGGGAGCCGCUGGUGUCGAUGUCAGGUCACGUACCGAGCCCACCCAGCAGUGGUGAGAUGGAGUUCCAGACACCUAUGCUGCCCAUGCGGAGUCUCUGUCCUAUAGCCAGCUCCAGGUAGAGCAGGGGGAGGCCCUCAAACACUAAAGCUAUCAGCCAACAAAGAUCAGUCGACAUAAUGCAUACACAGGCACUGCCAGGCUGGGGACUCCGGCCAAAAGAAAUAUGACUGCACUUAUCCAUGAAGGGUACGGUAUUGAUGCCAGCGAUGGAAACCCCUCCUGUAAACCACAGAACAGUAUGAUUACUGACAAAUAUCAACUGUCAACUGGCACUGGGUCUGUCAAGCUUUGGAUUUCCCUACAUGUGGAGUGUAUGUUGCUGCUGGAAGAGAAAAAAAGUUGACAAGGACGCCAGAUACCCGGUUUUGCUCCAGAGCCUACUCUACUUACCAAUACCAGUCAGAUAAGGGCUGAUGGCCCUCCACACUCCCACGCUGCCUUUCCUGAGACGCUGGCCGAUGGCAAACUCCAUCAGCAGAAGAGGCAUUCCCUCCAACACCAGCAGGAUCAGCAUUUGCUCUGGAUGAACUUGAAGAGGGCGGUAACUGGGAUGGCUAAACUGGGAACUCCAGCCAAGAUGAAGAUGAUGACGUAGAUCCAGGAGGGAUAUGGACGCGGUUCAAGGGUGGGGAAGCUCGCCUAUA